UGGGGAAUCUUGGACAAUGGGCGCAACCCUGAUCCAGCCAUGCCGCGUGUGUGAUGAAGGCCCUAGGGUUGUAAAGCACUUUCGCCAGGGAAGAUAAUGACGGUACCUGGUAAAGAAACCCCGGCUAACUCCGUGCCAGCAGCCGCGGUAAUACGGAGGGGGUUAGCGUUGUUCGGAAUUACUGGGCGUAAAGCGCGCGUAGGCGGACCAUUAAGUCAGGGGUGAAAUCCCGGGGCUCAACCCCGGAACUGCCCUUGAUACUGGCGGUCUUGAGUUCGAGAGAGGUGAGUGGAAUUCCGAGUGUAGAGGGGAAAUUCGUAGAUAUUCGGAGGAACACCAGUGGCGAAGGCGGCUCACUGGCUCGAUACUGACGCUGAGGUGCGAAAGUGUGGGGAGCAAACAGGAUUAGAUACCCGUGUAGUCC
rnacentral:rRNA from 1 species